UGUUUCCCUGUCGACAGUGUGUAAGCCGCGCGGGUAGCCUGCGUGUGUGUUCUCCCUUAGGAUUUGUCUUUUCUUGCCUUUUUUGUGAGUGCGUGUCUGUCCACUGCGGGUUGUCCUACACUGGUGGCGUGAUUGGGUUCAGAAGUUCCCUGCCAGACGACCGUGGUGCUCAAGAUUGCUUCCAGCUGUCCAAAUAGUCAUGCUACUGAUGCGCGACUUGAGACCUUGGGAGGCGCCUGCUUGUGAAUCCGUGUUCCUCUCUAGCAGCUGAGUGCGUCCAUGCGAGGAAGACAAGAAAUUCUCGUCACUGUAUUUUUUUUUUUCAAUACCAGUGCAUUAUCUAGGAAAAAAAAUAACAUCACCAAUACAACAUUGUACCAAUUUUCAGUAAAACAUGCAUUUUCCACGUCUUCUGAAUUAAGGUAAUCAUCCUGCUAAGUCUUAUGGUUUCCUUUUUUGGUUUGAAUUUUUUAUUUUUUGGGAGCUUUCUAUUCGAACCAGUUUUAACCGUUCGUAUCCUUCGUGAUCCCGCCCAGUAUUACAUUCCCGCAGCGCUGCAUGACUGGCCCCGCGCAGAGGUGCUGGUGAUGAGUGCGGAGGUGACCUGCUGGUUUUUGUGCGUCUGGUCAACGGGACGAGGCUUUAGAAAUCAAGAAUUGAGAAAAGAGCGUGCAGUCCAAAAACCUGGGAGCUUUUGGUUCAGGUUUACUGGUUGCUGCCAGUCCUGCCGCUCCUCUUCUUGCGCAGCUCCAGAAAAUAUAGACUGCACACCUUUCUCCGUCUUUUGUUCUUAUCAGCUGUGGAGAAAAAUGUCGGGUGAGGGCGUGUAGGCUUGACGACGCCCCAGGGACCAAGGGCGAGCUGCAGCGAGGGCAGUAAACUCGACGCGUCUAAGCGAGACUCACAAGUUAACAAGAAACUGAAGUGAAGGUCUUUAAUUCUUUUGACUUAGUGGUUUUCCGUCAAGUUUAUUAAAAUGGUCUUGUGUAAGUGUUAAGUAUAUUCCGGAGACCCAGUGACGACAGAGUGAUGGAGUGCUAAGAACAUUUUAAAGCCUGUAGUUUUAUAUUUCCUCAGUAAAAUCGUCCAGAAUUACUCAAGUACAGUAACAAGUGUCGUGCUGUCAUUGGGUGUUAAAGGGUUAUGUGCUCUCACACGUCACAGCUGGAGAAUAGAAAAUGUACUGUGAUCCCUAAUCGAUAUAUUCUUUGUAGAUAGGACACAGAAGGAGAGGAUUCAGAAGUAGUGAAUCAGAUAAUUAUCGGAUUACAGGCGGCAAGCAUCAUGUGCAUGGUGCGCAGGCUUAUGCAGAUGACAACCUCCUCCAAACCUGCUUGAAAAUAUAUAGAUUUCUUAGUCUAAACCUGUUUA